AUUGAACGCUGGCGGCAGGCCUAACACAUGCAAGUCGAGCGGAUGAAGGGAGCUUGCUCCUGGAUUCAGCGGCGGACGGGUGAGUAAUGCCUAGGAAUCUGCCUCGUAUCGGGGGAUAACGUCCGGAAACGGGCGCUAAUACCGCAUACGUCCUGAGGGAGAAAGUGGGGGAUCUUCGGACCUCACGCUAUCAGAUGAGCCUAGGUCGGAUUAGCUAGUUGGUGGGGUAAAGGCCUACCAAGGCGACGAUCCGUAACUGGUCUGAGAGGAUGAUCAGUCACACUGGAGCUGAGACACGGUCCAGACUCCUGCGGGAGGCAGCAGUGGGGAAUAUUGGACAGUGGGCGAAAGCCUGAUCCAGCGAUGCCGCGUGUGUGAAGAAGGUCUUCGGAUUGUAAAGCACUUUAAGUUGGGAGGAAGGGCAGUAAGUUGAUACCUUGCUGUUUUGACGUUACCGACAGAAUAAGCACCGGCUAACUUCGUG
rnacentral:rRNA from 1 species